CUGUGAGGGAUCAUGCUUCUUAUGCCUUCAACAAUUACUAUCAGAAGUACAAACACAAAGGGGGAAGCUGCUACUUCAAUGCUGCUGCCAUGGUUACUGCCCUUGAUCCAAGUCACACCUCAUGCCACUAUGAGUAUAUGCCUUAGUUCAGAAGAGGCUCUUCAAACCACAGAUGCUAUUUUCUGACUCCAACUGGCUGAUUAGAAGCUUUCAUUUUGUUCUUGUCUGCUCUUUUUUUUUUUUUUUUUUUUGGUCUUCAGUGAUUCCCAUAUCCAUGAUUGAUAAACUACAAAGUAAAGUAGCUAGCUUGAUGUUGCUUUUA